CCUACGGGAGGCUGCAGUGGGGAAUAUUGGACAAUGGGGGGAACCCUGAUCCAGCCAUGCCGCGUGUGUGAAGAAGGCCCUCGGGUUGUAAAGCACUUUCAGUGAGGAAGAACGCCUGGUGGUUAAUACCCAUCAGGAAAGACAUCACUCACAGAAGAAGCACCGGCUAACUCCGUGCCAGCAGCCGCGGUAAUACGGAGGGUGCGAGCGUUAAUCGGAAUUACUGGGCGUAAAGCGCGCGUAUGUGGCUUGAUAAGCCGGUUGUGAAAGCCCCGGGCUCAACCUGGGAACGGCAUCCGGAACUGUCAAGCUAGAGUGCAGGAGAGGAAGGUAGAAUUCCCGGUGUAGCGGUGAAAUGCGUAGAGAUCGGGAGGAAUACCAGUGGCGAAGGCGGCCUUCUGGACUGACACUGACACUGAGGUGCGAAAGCGUGGGUAGCAAACAGGAUUAGAUACCCUGGUAGUC
rnacentral:rRNA from 1 species